UACGUAGGGUGCAAGCGUUAAUCGGAAUUACUGGGCGUAAAGCGUGCGCAGGCGGUUUUGUAAGUCUGUCGUGAAAGCCCCGGGCUCAACCUGGGAAUUGCGAUGGAGACUGCAAGGCUUGAAUCUGGCAGAGGGGGGUAGAAAUUCCACGUGUAGCAGGUGAAAUGCGUAGAGAUGUGGAGGAACACCGAUGGCGAAGGCAGCCCCCUGGGUCAAGAUUGACGCUCAUGCACGAAAGCGUGGGGAGCAAACAGG
rnacentral:rRNA from 1 species